AGAACAGAUCAGUCUCAGACCCAGACCGACCCUGUCCCGAGCUGCGACGGAGCUCAGCUCCGUUCAGCUCCGUCCUCUGUCGUCCGGCCGCCUCCCGGCUCAAGGCUGGUGUCUACGGCUUCCUCUUGGCCUCGUGAUCCUCCCUGUGAUUCCAGCUUGAAGAGUGGAGCUCCGGUGAGAGAGAAAAGGAGGGAGAAGGCGACUGCCUCUCCGAUCGGGUUUCCGAUUCCGGCGACGAGCGUGAAUGGUACUAGUAGCUCCGUCUCGCCAUCCUCGUUCUAUAUGUGGUCUCGAAUUCUUCAGAGGAGCCUUCAUGAGUGAGAAUCGAUUAAUUGAAGCUCCAGGAGUUUCCCGGCGAGGGUUCGAUGCUUUCCGGCCACCGUCGAUGGCAAGUGAGCUGCUGUGAAAUGGAGAAAUUGGGGUUUUGGAAUUUGGAGUAAGCUACUGCUGCGGGUUCAUGAUACACAGGGGAGGUAAUGGGUUGUUUUGAUCCGUUCAUGCCUUCAAUUAAUAUCAUGAGCUUGUUUUGAUAUUGAUGGAGGAUUUGGAUAGUCUUUAUAUGUGUUGGUUGCUAAGACUAGGAUAGAAUUGCUACUGCGGUGGAGAUGUGUGAGAAUGAAGGAACUUUGCUAACUUUUGAAUUAUAGUUUGGCUUUGCUAUUGUAAAUGUAAGGUUUAGCAAAGUUGAACGGCACAUGGAAUAAGGAAUUGUGUAAUGGGUGCACAGUUUUGGGUGUACAAAGUAAUUUCGGAAGUUUGGAUAGAAAUGGGUGCCAUUGGAAUACGACGAUGCAUUUGGGUGUCCAGAGUAAAUUGUGAAAUCUGGUGAUUUGUCGACUACUUCAAAAUAAAGAUUCGGUACGAGGGUUGGAGGCAUGUUGCAAUUCCAGAAGCAAAAGGAUAAGGAUUUCAGAAUGCUGAGUUACUAAUUUUAGCUAGCAUCGGAAGUAGCGUUUGGAUUCCAGGUAGGGUCUCUCUCGGGGAACUUUUAAUUAAAUUGAUAAUUAUGUUAUUAUCAAAAUUGGUGCAUUGUGUGGCAUUGGUUGAUAUAACUCGUGGUUGUUAUUGUUUUUGUGAAAAGUAUGUGUAAUCGGCGAUUUAUAUAAUUAAUGUUAUCGCUUUCUAUAAAAGCAUGUAUUGGGUGAU